UACGUAGGUGGCAAGCGUUGUCCGGAAUUACUGGGCGUAAAGGGCGUGUAGGCGGCUAUUUAAGUCAGGCGUGAAACCUUAGGGCUUAACCUUGAGACUGCGUUUGAAACUGGAUGGCUAGAGGAUCGGAGAGGGCAGUGGAAUUCCCAGUGUAGCGGUGAAAUGCGUAGAUAUUGGGAGGAACACCAGUGGCGAAGGCGGCUGCCUGGACGACACCUGACGCUGAGGCGCGAAAGCUAGGGGAGCAAACGGG
rnacentral:rRNA from 1 species